GAACGUCCUCUGCCUUCUUCGGAGGGCAGAGGGAGUGGCGGACGGGUGAGGAACACGUGGGUGACCUACCCCCCGGUGAGGAAUACCGCCGAGAAAUCGGCGACAAGACCGCAUAGGCUUUUCUGUCACAAGGGAAGCAAAGCUUUUCUUCUUAGGAAGAGAGGCGCCAGGGGAUGGGCCUGCGCCCGAUUAGCUGGUUGGUGGGGUAAAAGCUCACCAAGGCGACGAUCGGUAGCUGGUCUGAGAGGAUGAGCAGCCACACUGGGAUUGAGAACGGCCCAGACUCCUACGGGAGGCAGCAGUGAGGAAUUUUCCACAAUGGUCGCAAGACUGAUGGAGCAACGCCGCGUGCAGGAAGACGCGUUUCGGCGUGUAAACUGCUUUUCCCAGGGAAGAACACAGACGGUACCUGGGGAAUCAGCCCCGGCUAACUACGUG
rnacentral:rRNA from 1 species